UACAGAGGUGGCAAGCGUUGUUCGGAGUUACUGGGCGUAAAGGGCGCGUAGGCGGCUUGGUCAGUCCCGUGUGAAAUCCCUCGGCUCAACUGAGGAACUGCACGGGAAACUGCCUGGCUUGAGUUCGGGAGAGGGAAGCGGAAUUCCGGGUGUAGCGGUGAAAUGCGUAGAUAUCCGGAGGAACACCGGUGGCGAAGGCGGCUUCCUGGACCGACACUGACGCUGAGGCGCGAAAGCUAGGGGAGCAAACGGG
rnacentral:rRNA from 1 species